CGCUGGAGGCGGGUGACAGGGGGCGGUGUUUCCGCGAUGCCUGCGGCUGCGCUGAUUAACGGGCUCCAUCUGUGGCCAGCAUACUUGCUCCUGUGUCUGAUGGUGACUCUGAGUUGGCUUCAGCAGGUAUCUGGGCCUUUGUCCGGGAAAUGCCAGUGGGGACACCAGCUAGGACCACAGAUUCCUCCCACGUGGCUGUCCUGUCCAUGGGGUCUCGCAGGCCAGAUGCUGUGGCAGAAUCAGGGAAAGCUCUCUGACUGAAGUUCAUGGACAGUGUCUCAUUUAGUUCUUUAAGAAAUGAAACAGAACCCCUUCUUUGGAUACUGGCUUCAUCUUCAGGCAGGCGCAAGUUGGCAACCCAAAUUCAGCUUCGUGGUCAAGUAGGAGAAUGUUUGCGAGAAGAAUGUCAGGCAAGUUUCCAGAAGCUGUGCACCUCAUCUACAUAAGUCAGGUCAUGUGCCCUUUUUGGAACCAAUCGCUUCAAAGGAUAUGAGAGUUACCUGACACUAAUCAGACCUACUCCUAAUGCUGGUAGAAACUUGACUUCCUCCGAAGCACAUGAUACCUGAGCUAAAUUGGAGUUCUGUCAGAAGGGAGGGGAAAUGGAUGUUGGGUAGACAAGUAGGAGGUGUCCACUAGAGAUGGGUUCCACCUCCUUCUUAUUCUUGGUUACCCAUUUCUGAGGCUUUUGUUGAAAUUGGCCUUGGAUGAUGAGAACAACUUCAGUAUGCAAAGGAGGUGAGGAGGGAACUGGUAUGUGAAUGUGUAAGGAUCUCUUAAGUCUGUGGCUGCCUGUUGGAGAGGGUGCUUUGACCUGCGGACAUGACCAUCUGACCCCGGACAAGCAUGAGUCAUCCGAUCAUUCUAGCUUGAUGAAAAUAAAGAACGUGGCUAUCCAAGAC